AUAAUUUGCCUAGUACAUAGAGUGUGCUUUGUGGAUUUGUUGGGUUCUCUACACACUUAGAUAAGGGAUCCUUUUGCAAAGCACUUGGCACAAUGUGUGGUACCAUAAUACAUGGUACUUGAUGAAAGAGGGCUUAUAACAACACUAUGAUAAUUAUUGCUAUUACUAGUUGUCCAUUUUGUGCUCCUGUAGCAUAAUACCACAGACUGGGUAAUUUAUAAAGAACUUGAAUAUUUUCUCAAAGUUCUAGAGCCUGGGAAGAGCAAGACCAAGAUAUUCAGUUGCUUGGUGAGAGCUGCUCUCCGCUUCCAAGGUGAUGCCUUGUUGCUGUAUCCUCCAACAGGAAGGAAUGCUGGGGCCUCACGUGACAGAAGGUAGAAAGCCUGCAGAUGGCCUAUUGUGGGACCUUGUGAUCAUGCUUUAGUCUCCUGGGAUAAUAACCCACUCCACAGGUAAAAAGAGGGUAAGUUCUCUUUUACAUCCAAUAAAGAAUGCUAACAUGACCUCUCUUCCCCACUGGGAUGUCAUUAAUACCAAAUUUAAACAAAGUAGGUUGCAGAUUUCCAAAAGGUUGGC
rnacentral:lncRNA from 1 species